AUUGAACGCUGGCGGCAGGCUUAACACAUGCAAGUCGAGCGGAGUGAUGGUGCUUGCACUAUCACUUAGCGGCGGACGGGUGAGUAAUGCUUAGGAAUCUGCCUAUUAGUGGGGGACAACAUCUCGAAAGGGAUGCUAAUACCGCAUACGUCCUACGGGAGAAAGCAGGGGAUCACUUGUGACCUUGCGCUAAUAGAUGAGCCUAAGUCGGAUUAGCUAGUUGUUGGGGUAAAGGCCUACCAAGGCGACGAUCUGUAGCGGGUCUGAGAGGAUGGUCCGCCACACUGGGACUGAGACACGGCCCAGACUCCUACGGGAGGCAGCAGUGGGGAAUAUUGGACAAUGGGGGGAACCCUGAUCCAGCCAUGCCGCGUGUGUGAAGAAGGCCUUAUGGUUGUAAAGCACUUUAAGCGAGGAGGAGGCUCUUUUGGUUAAUACCCAAGAUGAGUGGACGUUACUCGCAGAAUAAGCACCGGCUAACUCUGUACCAGCCGCCGCAGUAA
rnacentral:rRNA from 1 species